GUGUCCGUAGCUCAGCUGGAUAGAGCAUCAGCCUUCUAAGUUGUUGGUCAGGGGUUCGAAUCCCUUCGGACACACCA
rnacentral:tRNA from 3 species